GGAAACGGUUCUCUCGGAUCGUAAAGCUCUGUUGUUAGGGAAGAACAAGUACCGUUCGAAUAGGGCGGUACCUUGACGGUACCUAACCAGAAAGCCACGGCUAACUACGUGCCAGCAGCCGCGGUAAUACGUAGGUGGCAAGCGUUGUCCGGAAUUAUUGGGCGUAAAGGGCUCGCAGGCGGUUUCUUAAGCCUGAUGUGAAAGCCCCCGGCUCAACCGGGGAGGGUCAUUGGAAACUGGGGAACUUGAGUGCAGAAGAGGAGAGUGGAAUUCCACGUGUAGCGGUGAAAUGCGUAGAGAUGUGGAGGAACACCAGUGGCGAAGGCGACUCUCUGGUCUGUAACUGACGCUGAGGAGCGAAAGCGUGGGGAGCGAACAGGAUUAGAUACCCUGGUAGUCCACGCCGUAAACGAUGAGUGCUAAGUGUUAGGGGGUUUCCGCCCCUUAGUGCUGCAGCUAACGCAUUAAGCACUCCGCCUGGGGAGAA
rnacentral:rRNA from 2 species